UCCCUGGAGGGCUAGUGGUUAGGCCUCGGUGCUCUCACUGUUGUAGCGAGGGUUUGAUUCCCAGCCAGGGAA